rnacentral:rRNA from 1 species
ACGUAUGUCGCAAGCGUUAUCCGGAUUUAUUGGGCGUAAAGCGCGUCUAGGCGGCUUAGUAAGUCUGAUGUGAAAAUGCGGGGCUCAACCCCGUAUUGCGUUGGAAACUGCUAAACUAGAGUACUGGAGAGGUAGGCGGAACUACAAGUGUAGAGGUGAAAUUCGUAGAUAUUUGUAGGAAUGCCGAUGGGGAAGCCAGCCUACUGGACAGAUACUGACGCUAAAGCGCGAAAGCGUGGGUAGCAAACAGGAUUAGAUACCCUGGUAGUCCACGCCGUAAACGAUGAUUACUAGGUGUUGGGGGUCGAACCUCAGCGCCCAAGCUAACGCGAUAAGUAAUCCGCCUGGGGAGUACGUACGCAAGUAUG